CAGAGGGUGCGAGCGUUAAUCGGAAUUACUGGGCGUAAAGCGUGCGUAGACGGUUAUUUAAGUCGGGUGUGAAAGCCCCGGGCCCAACCUGGGAAUUGCAUUCGAGACUGAAUAGCUAGGGUACGGUAGAGGGAAGCGGAAUUUCCGGUGUAGCGGUGAAAUGCGUAGAUAUCGGAAGGAACAUCAGUGGCGAAAGCGGCUUCCUGGACCAGUACCGACGUUCAGGCACGAAAGUGUGGGGAGCAAACAGGAUUAGAUACCCUGGUAGUCCACGCCAUAAACGAUGAGGACUAGACGUUGGAGGGGUAAGCCUUUCAGUGUCGUAGCUAACGCGCUAAGUCCUCCGCCUGGGGAGUACGGCCGCAAGGUUG
rnacentral:rRNA from 1 species